CCUACGGGAGGCAGCAGUGAGGAAUAUUGGUCAAUGGGCGGAAGCCUGAACCAGCCAAGUAGCGUGCAGGAUGACGGCCCGACGGGUUGUAAACUGCUUUUAUACGGGAAUAACGCGCCGUACGUGUAGGGCUUUGCAUGUACCGUAUGAAUAAGGACCGGCUAAUUCCAUGCCAGCAGCCGCGGUAAUACGGACGGUCCGGGCGUUAUCCGGAUUUAUUGGGUUUAAAGGGAGCGUAGGCCGCAUGUCAAGCGUGCUGUGAAAUGUCCGGGCUCAACCCGGGCCUUGCAGCGCGAACUGGCGUGCUUGAGUCCGCGGCAAGCAGGCGGCAUUCGUCGUGUCGCGGU
rnacentral:rRNA from 1 species